rnacentral:rRNA from 1 species
UGCGGAAAGGAUCAUUGUCGGGACCUGCACAGCAGACCGCGAACACGUUGCUUAACGCCGCGGCGCACGGCGCGGGGGCGAGCCCCCCGUCGUGUCCCCGCCCCCGCCGGCGCGCUCCCUCGGGUCGCGUCGUGCGGGCUAACGAACCCCGGCGCGGAAUGCGCCAAGGAAAACCGAACGAAGCGUCCGCCUCCUGCGUCCCGUCCGCGGAGCGCGCAGGGGGGAUCGGGCCUCAAAAACAAUGUCUAAACGACUCUCGGCAACGGAUAUCUCGGCUCUCGCAUCGAUGAAGAACGUAGCGAAAUGCGAUACUUGGUGUGAAUUGCAGAAUCCCGUGAACCAUCGAGUCUUUGAACGCAAGUUGCGCCCGAAGCCAUUAGGCCGAGGGCACGUCUGCCUGGGCGUCACGCAUCCCGUCGCCCCCCUCCCCGCUCUCAGAGCCCGGUUGUGGGGGCGGACAUUGGCCUCCCGUGCGCCCCGGCGUGCGGCCGGCCCAAAUGCGAUCCCUCGGCGACCCGCGUCGCGAACAAGUGGUGGUUGAACUUCAAUCCCGCGCGCAGUCGUGCCGCUGCGUCGUCCGUUCGGGCAUCCAGCGAACGACCCAAACGGUGAGGGUCG